UACAGAGGGGGCAAGCGUUGUUCGGAAUUACUGGGCGUAAAGGGCGCGUAGGCGGCCUUCUAAGUCGAACGUGAAAUCCCCGGGCUCAACCCGGGAACUGCGUCCGAUACUGGAAGGCUUGAAUCCCGGGAGAGGGAUGCGGAAUUCCAGGUGUAGCGGUGAAAUGCGUAGAUAUCUGGAGGAACACCGGUGGCGAAGGCGGGUCUCUGGGCCGAUACUGACGCUGAGGAGCGAAAGCGUGGGGAGCGAACAGG
rnacentral:rRNA from 1 species